GUUUGAAGCAUUAUGGUAAUUUUCAAGAAUCUUUUGAAUCUGCCAAAACAAUUUCGGCCCCUGCAUCCAAGACCCUUUCGAAAGUGGGUAAAUCCACUUCUAAUGGUGUUUUGAAGCAUGGAAGCAAAGUAGCAUCUUCUAGAACUGUUGGUACGGAGGCUUUGAGGUCAGAAUCAAUUAUGUCCAUUCAAGAUAUAGCAGUUCAAUCGCAGGCUUUACUAAAUGUUAAAGAUUCCAAUAAGGAGGAUAGGGAAAGAUUGGUAGUAAGGAGGUUUAAGUUUGAAGAUCCACGGAUAGAACAAAUUCAAGACCUUGAGAAUGAUUUGAUGAAGUACUUCAGAGAGGAUUUGCAUAGACGGCUUCUAAGCACAGAUUUUAAGAAGCAAAUCGAUGGGCUUGAGAUGCUGCAAAAGGAUGGCUAUGCUAUACAAAGCUUUAAGUGAGGAAUGGCUGCACAAAAGAGUCAAUUUUUUUUUUCAACACAUAAAUUUUGCAUUUGACGGAUCAGUAGUAACUACUUCACAGGAAGGAUGCCUGAGUUUGGCAAUUUGAAACAGCUUCAGAAGUUGAUGAUUCUGAGGUUUGCUAUCAGUUUUCCUCUGGAAUAAAGCUCCUUCUGGAAAAAGCAGAUCAGCCAAUUGGGAUGAGCUCAGAAUCUUUUAUGCAAAAGCCUUGAAUCAGUAAUAGCACAAACCAGCCAUGGUAAACUUGAAACAACCUUGGGGCACUGCAGUGCAUGCCAAUAAGCUGAUCUUCAGCAAAUAAAAAAAUUAUAAACAUGGACAAAGAGAGAGCCUUCAUCACAUAGAUCAGGUCAGCCUCUUAUUACUUGCUUUUCACCAGUUUAUCUAAUAAUUGAACUUUUGCAGCUUAAGCUAGUGCUGAAGAAAAUUGAAAGUAGAUCAUCAAGAAAAGAGUAUAUUCAGCUACUUGCAGAAUGCCACAAACUUUAUUGUGAGCAGAGUAUAUUCAGUUAUUAUUGUAGCUUUUUUUUAAUCAGCUUUGGCUGACCUCCAGUUUUGGGCUUUUAUUUUGCUCGUUUCUUAGUUUUAGCUCUCGGACUUGGAAAUUGUGAUAAUCAAGCCGUGACCCAAUUUUUGUUUAAAUCCUUUGAUGCUUUCCUCAUAUUAAUCUAGUUAGGAUUCUCAUCUUUAAUAGCUGAACUUUUUUUUUUCUUUUGGCAAAAGUGACAUGUUUUAUGUUAUAUUUUGGGGCAUGUUAUUGUUCAGUUGCUGUUCUUUUACUUUUAGCUGUUGCUCUUCUUUGUGUGUACAAACUUUGUGUUGUGUAUGUUACAGCUGGUUCAGCAAUUGCCUUAGCAAUUAACCUGCUCUUUAUAUGUAGAAUGGUGUUUAAUGGUACAUGCAGUUCUCUUGUCUGAAGUUUUGGUCAUUUGUUUCUAUGUUUUCUGCCUUUGCAAUAGCAAUUGAAUCUAUUAUGUGCAAGAUUUAUAGUUUGCCACCUAUUAUGUGCCACAGAAAAUCUGUUUCUUAUUGCAAAGUUUUAAUAUUGAUAUUUCUUUCCAUGCUUAUUUUUGCAUGACUAGAGCUAAUUUUCAGAUUAAGCAUGCCCAGCAUCUUACACUUGGGACUGCAAACAGGUUUGGUGAACUAGGGAUUAUUGCUUCAGUACAGGUUCAUCACAGCUCUCUGUUGCACUCUAGUAACAUACUGUAACAUUUAAGGUUGAGUUUUGAAUUAAAUGUUGAUUUCUGUGUGUGAAACUAGAUAUUCAUUUAUUUUUUAAGAAACUACAUAAUUUAACAAUGAAGUGUAGAUAAUCACUACAACAAAGUGAAGUAAUUGUCACUUAAGGUUCUUAUUUUAAUACUUUUCCAUAAAACUUGUGUAGAAUUUGGAAAUAUCUUGUCUUGAAAAGAAUUUGGAUAUGAGACUCGGUGUAGUCACCAAAGAAACUAAACCUGGUCUAACUGUAAGUCUUCUAUAUAUCAUAUUAACUGAAAAUCUAGCUUUCUAGAGACUACAGAGAUAUUGAUUACUGCUAAAUUAUUCAUGCUAUAUUAUAGGAAGAUGACAUGCUAUUUAAUUGAAACUAAUCUAGAUUUUUGAUGAACACUUAGAAUCUUGUGCAACUGGGAUAUCUAACUGAAACUAAUCUAGAUUUCUGAUGUUUUGACAAUACUAAUUAACUAAAAGCUUCUGCAGCAAUACCUGCUAGGCUGUGUGUUUUGCUUUAAUGGGCAUUGAGUGUGGUAAAUACUGUUCUUUUCCUGUGUACCGUGUUAUGUUUGUUUCUUGUCAUGUUAAUGCUCUUGUCUCUUAUCAUUUGCCCAGGGUUGUUGAGAUCAUCUGCACUUUGGUCAGGAAAUUAUCUCCUAAUCCUAAUAGUGCUGCUAUAAUGGCCAUAGGUGUUAACAUCUUGGGUUCAUGGGAGGAGCUGCCAUUGUUGGGUUCAUGGGAGGAGCUGUCAUUACAAUUGCCCUUCAGCAGCUCAAAGGAUUGCUUGGCAUAAAAAAGAAUUUCACAAAGAAGAAUCUCUGUUUUGCGCUCAGUGUUUAAUUCAACCCACCAUGUUGUAAUAUGAUUUCUUAAGCCUAGACUAGUAGACUAAAUAUUGUAAUUACAUUUGAGUAAUUAAUAAAAAUCUAUUUAUGUUACCUUA